rnacentral:rRNA from 1 species
UACGAAGGGGGCUAGCGUUGCUCGGAAUCACUGGGCGUAAAGCGCACGUAGGCGGACUCUUAAGUCGGUGGUGAAAUCCUGGAGCUCAACUCCAGAACUGCCUUCGAUACUGAGAGUCUCGAGUCCGAGAGAGGUGAGUGGAACUGCGAGUGUAGAGGUGAAAUUCGUAGAUAUUAGGAAGAACACCAGUGGCGAAGGCGGCUCACUGGUCCGGUACUGACGCUGAGGUGCGAAAGCGUGGGGAGCAAACAGG